UACGGAGGAUCCGAGCGUUAUCCGGAUUUAUUGGGUUUAAAGGGUGCGUAGGCGGCCUGUUAAGUCAGGGGUGAAAGACGGUAGCUCAACUAUCGCAGUGCCCUUGAUACUGAUGGGCUUGAAUGUACUAGAGGUAGGCGGAAUGUGACAAGUAGCGGUGAAAUGCAUAGAUAUGUCACAGAACACCAAUUGCGAAGGCAGCUUACUAUGGUUUUAUUGACACUGAGGCACGAAAGCGUGGGGAUCAAACAGG
rnacentral:rRNA from 1 species